AUAUCUCAAAUAAACAUAAGCCUCUAUCACUGUGCUCAGCAAAAUACUACUCCCGGGUAAAGAAAAUGAGCUGAUAGUCUAAUAUUGCUUUUAAGAGACUGAUUACAACAGGAAAAACAACAAAAGCAAUUAGAAAUUGCAAAUGCAAUCCACACAUAUGAAUGCCAUAUGAAAUGUGAAACUGCACUAAUAUCACUAAUUAAACAAAAAAUUUUCAAUGGGUGAUGCUGUCGGCAUUUGUAGCCAAAAAGCAUGUUUCCAAUGUCAAAGGAUAACACAUGAGCAUGAAUUCUGCUUUUUCAUCUCCUC
rnacentral:misc_RNA from 1 species